GAGCACGUAGGUGGGUUUGUAAGUCAGAUGUGAAAGCCUUCUGUUCAACGGAAGAAUUGCAUCUGAAACUGCUAAUCUUGAGUAUAGGAGGGGAGAAUGGAACUUCUGGUGGAGCGGUGAAAUGCGUAGAUAUCAGAAGGAACGCCGGCGGCGAAAGCGAUUCUCUGGCCUAUUACUGACACUCAGUGUGCGAAAGCUAGGGGAGCAAACGGGAUUAGAUACCCCGGUAGUCCUAGCCGUAAACGAUGGGCACUAAGUAGAGGGGUUUUA
rnacentral:rRNA from 1 species